CUGUACAGAGAGAGUUCUUUGUGAGGGUGUUCAAUUCUGCAGAGUAGGGACACUCGAAUCCGGGCUCCAUCGUGACCCUUGACCUGGUCGCAGUCGCCUCCCCGGGAAAAGCGGGGUUUGGCACGCGCGUCUGCAGUCUGUGUCUGGAAGCCGGAGAGAAUUAAGCAGGUGCGGGAUUAGCGUUCGGUACCGGCUGGCUCUGUGCUCGGCUGAUAUGGGACAGCGGGUGACCUUCGCGCACCGCCGGCUUCGCGUUAUCCGCUUCGCUCAGGUGGAAUGCUGUACUGUUUGCUGACUGCUGGUGAGACCUGAGACUGGAACCCAGGGCCAUGCAGGAUGGGGGUCUGGGUACUGCUGAGGUGUCGACUGACGAUGAAUCUCUGUAAUGUGCGUGUUGGGGCGCGUAACUCAGGCUGAUGGUACUUACAUUGCGCCAGAACCUCAUAAAUCUGGGCCAGAGGACUAUGAAUAUGCAGCGGAAUCUAUCGGUUCCAGCGCACCUCCGCCCCGUCCUCGUCCUCCUUCUCUCCAUCGCGGGCGUCGCGCUCUUCUGGGAAAAACGGGAAAAUGAAAACUUUGCGUUAGCCGCCGAGCCGAUGUCACGUCUGCGGAGAUGAUAACGUGGCACCGGGAACAGGAACGUGUGUUCUGUUCCAGCGGAACUCUCUUUUCUUAUUUAUUCGUUAACGUAAAGCGAGGUUGUUCUUGGCCGUUGGAUCGUUAUCGGCGCCUGUGCGCACAUUCAUCUGAUCUACGAUCUGUUUCUCUCUCAAGGAUAAUUAUGAUCAUUUAUGGCUGUGCUAAUACGAUUGCUGUUGAGGGCUCCCGGCUCUCCUGUUUAAUCGCUUUAUUCAGAUUUUUUUCCCCCCCCUUCCGUGCUUUUGCAGGCUGCUCCACGCGCGUUUGUGUGUGUGUCAAUAAAGGAUCCUCAAACCUGA